rnacentral:rRNA from 1 species
AACGAACGCUGGCGGCAGGCCUAACACAUGCAAGUCGAGCGAGGACUUCGGUCCUAGCGGCGGACGGGUGAGUAACGCGUGGGAACGUGCCCUUUGGUACGGAAUAGCCCCGGGAAACCGGGAGUAAUACCGUAUGGUGUCUUCGGACUAAAGAUUUAUCGCCAAAGGAUCGGCCCGCGUUGGAUUAGGUAGUUGGUGGGGUAAUGGCCUACCAAGCCGACGAUCCAUAGCUGGUUUGAGAGGAUGAUCAGCCACACUGGGACUGAGACACGGCCCAGACUCCUACGGGAGGCAGCAGUGGGGGAAUCUUAGACAAUGGGGGCGAACCCUCGAUCUAGCCAUGCCGCGUGAGUGAUGAAGGCCCUACGGGUUGGUAAAGACUCUUUCUAGCUGGGAAGGAUAAUAGACGGUACCGAAGCAGAAGAAGACCCCGGGCCUAACUCCGUCGCCACGCAGCCGCGGUAAGUAGUGACUACUG